GAGCUCAUCAGGGCAGCACAUAUACUAAAAUUGAGAUGAUACAGAAGGUGACUGUGGCCUCUGCGCAAGGAUGACAUGCAAAUAUGUGCAGCAUUCUGUAUUUUC